UACGAGUACCCCAAGCGUUAUCCGGAAUCAUUGGGCGUAAAGGGUGUGUAGGUGGUCUCUUUAGUCUUCUGUUAAAAUUCCCGGCUCAACCGGGAACCUGCAGUGGAAACGGAGAGACUCGAGGGUGUAAGGGGUGAAUGGAACUCAUGGAGUAGGGGUGAAAUCCGUUGAUAUCAUGGGGAACACCAAAAGCGAAGGCAAUUCACUGGUACACUUCUGACACUGAAACACGAAAGCGUGGGUAGCGAACGGG
rnacentral:rRNA from 1 species